rnacentral:tRNA from 1 species
GCAUCCGUAGCUCAGCUGGAUAGAGUACUCGGCUCCGAACCGAGCGGUCGGAGGUUCGAAUCCUCCCGGAUGCACCA